rnacentral:tRNA from 1 species
CUUGGUGGAGCUUGAAAGCAAGCAGCUCUUUUACACAGAGAAGAUAUCUGUGCAAUUCAGAUUACCUUGA